UACGUAGGGUGCAAGCGUUAAUCGGAAUUACUGGGCGUAAAGCGUGCGCAGGCGGUUUUGUAAGUCUGUCGUGAAAGCCCCGGGCUCAACCUGGGAAUUGCGUUGGAGACUGCAAGGCUAGAAUCUGGCAGAGGGGGGUAGAAUUCCACGUGUAGCAGUGAAAUGCGUAGAGAUGUGGAGGAACACCUAUGGCGAAGGCAGCCCCCUGGGUCAAGAUUGACGCUCAUGCACGAAAGCGUGGGGAGCAAACAGG
rnacentral:rRNA from 1 species